rnacentral:lncRNA from 1 species
AAAGCUCAAGCCAUUUGCACUGGGAGAGAAGCCAGCCAGAAGUUUUGCUGGCAAUGGUUUGGUUUCUAGAACAGCAUCAAAACUUGUCUCCCAUGUUUUGUAAGGUGGUUUAACCCACAAGAUAUCACGCAUUUGAAACUUUUAAGAAGAAACUUAAUUUCAUCUGUGAAUGCAGAAGCAAAUAUGAGGGCAUGGGCAUUUAAAUAUGAAGUAUUUCUUGAAAGCCACCUACUGGAGAGUAAGUUUGGUGCAAUAAUUUAAGAAAAGAUAAAAAAGAAACAGGAAAAUUGGGACAACGGACAGCAUGAUGGAGCCACCGUGCAAGCCCUCAAUAGUCUGCCUCCAGGUUGUGUCAAAUAAAGUAAAAAGAACAAAA